AUUGAACGCUGGCGGCAGGCCUAACACAUGCAAGUCGAGCGAGUGGCGGACGGGUGAGUAAUGUAUGGGGAUCUGCCCGAUAGAGGGGGAUAACUACUGGAAACGGUAGCUAAUACCGCAUACUAUCGGAUGCACCCAGAUGGGAUUAGCUAGUAGGUGGGUUAAAGGCUCACCUAGGCGACGAUCCCUAGCUGGUCUGAGAGGAUGCUCAGCCACACUGGGACUGAGACACGGCCCAGACUCCGACGGGAGGCAGCAGUGGGGAAUAUUGCACAAUGGGCGCAAGCCUGAUGCAGCCAUGCCGCGUGUAUGAAGAAGGCCUUAGGGUUGUAAAGUACUUUCAGCGGGGAGGCGUUACCCGCAGAAGAAGCACCGGCUAACUCCGUGCCAGCAGCCGCGGUAAUAC
rnacentral:rRNA from 1 species